GACGAACGCUGGCGGCGUGCUUAACACAUGCAAGUCGAGCGGUAAGGCCCUUUCGGGGGUACACGAGCGGCGAACGGGUGAGUAACACGUGGGUGACCUGCCCUCAGCUCUGGGAUAAGCCUGGGAAACCGGGUCUAAUACUGGAUAUGACUCCAUGACGCAUGUUGUGGGGUGAAAGCCUUGUGCGGCUGAGGAUGGGCCCGNGGCCUAUCAGCUUGUUGGUGGGGUGANGGCCUACCAAGGCGACGACGGGUAGCCGGCCUGAGAGGGCGACCGGCCGACACUGGGACUGAGACACGGCCCAGACUCCUACGGGAGGCAGCAGUGGGGAAUCUUGCGCAAUGGGCGAAAGCCUGACGCAGCGACGCCGCGUGAGGGAUGACGGCCU
rnacentral:rRNA from 1 species